AACAGAUUCAUUAUUGGACUGUAUAAUCCAUAAUAUUUAAGAUAGAUUGUUGGCUUGAUACUCAAUUUCCCUGCAACAUUGUGCUCAAAAUACUGUCUUUGCUCCUGCUGAAAAUUGGCUAAAACCAAGCUGGCAGUAAUGGAUCCAUGGAAGUGGCACUCAUUAGCUGCUAUAAAGCAAAAUCAUCGGCCCGGAGAGCUGCUUUGAAAAGUGCAUUUGGACGUGGGGAUGGCAGAGAGAAAUGAAAUCACGUCGCGCCACUGCAACAAAUUCAAGUUAAUUGAAUUCCAAAGUAAGCAUAAUUCCAGCCGGCUCUAAAGGCGAGCACAUACAACAGGAGGCACUACCAACAGCUCCUAUAUGGCCAUAUAGCCACGACAUUCACUCUGCGACGGGAGCAAAGGGGUAGGCAUUUAAACUAAAUUUAGCCUGAAAUUGCUUCCUUUUUGCUGUCGGUUGCUGGCCAUUCUGCUGCUGCUGCUGUUGCCUGACGGUUGCCACUUUGCCGACAACACAAAAUUCAAUUACAAUUGGCAGCAGCAAAAACGAAAACGAAAGUCGCGCUAAAACCCCACCAGAGCCAACGAACGAUCGGGCAACUGAAACCGAAACUGGAGCCAAGACCCGGCCUGAAGUUGAAGCUGGGGCUGCAGUCCGGUUUCUUAAUGCUUUCAGCACUUGCAAUUAUUUUAUGCCGCCAUCGUUUAAAGUGUCGGAAAUUUGGUUCGGUAAUUAAAUGAAAAUCAACAGCGACCAACGCCUGGACGCCGAAAAAAGCAUGAAAACAAACGAUAAUCCCCCCCUGCAACUCGCCGAAUGAUUCAUCACGCUCGCUUGGCCAAAGCCCAGAUACGGCCACCAAUUUGAUUAUGGCCAUAAGUAGACAAGAAGGAAACUUUGGUGACUCCAACUCCGCAAAAAGGACAAUCUCGACGGAGACUCCAAAGAAAAAAAAUAAAUAAAUUGCCUUUCAGAUUGCAGCUUCA